rnacentral:lncRNA from 1 species
GAAGAGGAGCGCGCUCCCCGCCAGCUUUGUGACGUCAUGGGGGUCAGACAAUCCCUUCCAUCAGCGCGAGCUAGCGGAUUGGCUCCACGGACCCGCCUCACGUGACCCCGCCCAGUUGUUGGGUGGAAGGUCGCGGUGCGCGGAGCUGGACGUCCGCGCUCGGCCGGUGGGCCGGCGGUGGCCCGCAGUGGGAGGACGCUCUUGAACCAGCCCCAGUAUCGCAGCGAAGUACUGGAGAUCAAACUCGGGACCAAUGUGAGACCUUUUGAAUGUACCAUCCCAUUUAUUGUUACCUGGGAAUGUAAAGGCAUUAGCGUGUCCUCCCACAAUGCCUGCUUAAGGUCAGCGCCCAAGGAAGAGUCCCACCCAUGUUGGUACUGCAAAUAAUGAUAUGUCUCAUAAAUAAUUGGAUUUUCUUUUAAAAAUGUUUUACUCUGAACUGAAUAAAUACCUGGCCUGUGUCUCCAUGUUUCCUGUGUCUGUGCGUGUGUGUGGGAGGGGUGGUAAGGGUAGGGUGGGAAGAAGUUUGCAGAAAUUAUCCA